rnacentral:rRNA from 1 species
GAUAGACGCUAGCGGCAGGCUUAACACAUGCAAGUCGAGGGGCAGCAUAGAUUGUAGCAAUACAAUUGGUGGCGACCGGCGCACGGGUGCGUGACGCGUAUGCAACCUACCCGUCACAGGGGGAUAAUCCGGAGAAAUCUGGUCUAAUACCCCAUAACAUAUGGAUCGGCAUCGGUUCAUGUUGAAAUUUUCGGAGGUGACGGAUGGGCAUGCGUAGCAUUAGCUUGUUGGUGAGGUAACGGCUCACCAAGGCGACGAUGCUUAGGGGGACUGAGAGGUUUUCCCCCCACACUGGUACUGAGACACGGACCGGACUCCUACGGGAGGCAGCAGUGAGGAAUAUUGGCCAAUGGGCGCAAGCCUGAACCAGCCAUGCCGCGUGCAGGAUGACGGCUCUAUGAGUUGUAAACUGCUUUUGUACGAGGGUAAAGUGGGUUACGUGUAACCUUUUGAAAGUAUCGUACGAAUAAGGAUCGGCUAACUCCGUGCCAGCCGCCGCCGUAA